CUGGUGUGUUCCCAUCUCUGGCUCAGCCCUCCUGCAAACAUUCCCAUUGUUUGGAGAGAUUUAGGAACAACUCAGCUCUCUGGCAUGGCCCCAUCUCUAAUUUUAGCAUCUAGUCAUCUGGACUACACAGAUGCAGGGGAAGGAAAAUGAAGAGGAUUUCCCUCUCCCUGCACGUAGCAAUCCAUUGAUUUCAGAAAAAAAGUCAGAUUUACUGCUCCUAUUUGAUGGCUCUUGGGAAAAGAAUUGGACCCAUAGUAGUAAGUCAGAGAUGGGAAGAGGCAGUUCACUGAGCAGUGUGAUCGAUGGCCUCAGAGAGAAGUAUCUUCCUCGCUGUUCUGCAGAAACAAAAAGUCUUGAGAAGAGAGCACAACCUGAACCUCUCCUGCAGGAUCCAGCUUCUCAUGGCACUGAGCAGCAAAGUCAAGCUCCAGAAGCUGUCACAAGAUGAGGAAUAGAGAAGACCAAAUCUGAUCAGAAACGUAGCUUCAUUUGCUCCAAAUAAAUCAUAUGACUUAUGUAGAAACUCCAUGGUACGACACCAGCCACGUGAUUCAAUUCAACAGUUAUAAAGCUUUAUCUGCUUAUUCUUUUUUACUAAAAUGUUACUAUAAAUGUCACAUCUCCCCAAGGCACAGGAUUUACUUUCCUCUGGGGUAACAACCUACAAAAUGCCACAUAAAGAAGGUCUACAGCUGUAGCAGGAAUGAGGAUCCUGACUGGAACACUGAACUCUGCUGCAGCCUUCAGGAUCCACCAGGGCUGUUAUUGAACACCCACAGCUGUCCCUGAGCAAAACCACUGAGACACUGCAUUGCCUUCCAGCAGUUGCAUCAGGGGCAAACCAGACCUUGAAGGCUCGGAAGCCCAUGUGUCCAACAGAGACAUUCCCUACUUAUUCUUGGUGCUGCUGUGAAACAUGGCAGAACACAUUGCUCCAGAUGCGAGCCUGUGAGAUCCCACAGGCCAAAGGGGCUGAGGUACUGGGUUAAAAGAUUGGGAAAAGGUAUGAGUGUCCUCUGACAACUGGUACUGAUGUGUGGCUGGCACACAUGCACAUGGAGAAGUAACCACAGCUACCAACUUCAAGGUCUUGUUAGAUGGUUCCCAGUCUGCCCAAACACAGGGCAGGUAAUUGGCCAAUCUUCAGGUGUGUUUUCAUCACAUGGAGUCCUGGAGCAAGCAGGAGAUGAGGAGGCAGAGCUGCAGCUGAGCGUUGUAUUAGAGGCCUGGUCUUCUACUCAGGACUGUGAAUUUACCUACAUCAUACAUUAGCUAAGAUUCAGGCACUGCAAUACCCAAAGCAUUUCACAGACACAGCUUUAGAUCCUUUGCAAGAGGAGAGCUGGAAAAAGAAUGAAAACUUUCCAAUGCUCUGCUCUAAGCAGAAGCUUAAUUGUGACAUGCAUUGUCUGCUUAUGUAACAUUCAGAGUAAGCCUCGGAAUUAUUCUCCCUGCACUUACUCAAUUUCAAGGUUAUUAUUCAGAGCACUUCAUUUCUUUCAGCCUAAACAAAAGCACUGAUGUUUUUAAUGGUGUCUGUGAUUCCCUAGUUCUGUUUUUGUGCUUCUGCCUUUAAUAUUUUUUCCUCAGAAUUCAAGAUGAUUAUAAAUUGCUUGCUCCACACCAGGAAAUGAACACUAAGUUGUAUUCACGGCUUUGCCUUCCGAAGAGCUGGAACAGAGUUUAGGAGGAAAUUCCCAGGAAGCCAGUGUAUGCAAUGCAGGCCAUGCCAUGUUCUUCUGUCUAUAAUUAUCACAGGAGAGCUGACAUUGCUUAGCUCAAACGGUGUUUUCAGCAUCGAUCUGGGAAGCAUCCAAAGCUUCUUUUUGUUAAUUUGUCAGAGUGGAUUAAUUUUUCAGCAGCCCAUUAUUGGAAUGCAGCCUGCUCGGCUUCAAGCAGCAUCGUAAAAAGCCAGUGAUACUGAGCUGACAGCAGUCAUGGGCAGGCAGAGCCCAGAUGUGGUACAGAGCUGCAGGAAUGUAGUGAUGACAUCUGGAGAUCAGCUUCCGCCUCCGGAGUAAGACUUGGAGGAGGUAUUUCAGCCACUUCCACAACCCAGCAAUCCCUUCCCAAACAAGUCGAUCCCACAAUCACAACUGCUGAGUCUUGGAUAUCAUCUGUCCUCAUCUGGUAUCUUUACCGGUACACCACAAAUAAGAACAUACAGCAUAAGCGCUGUUUCAAGCAGUGGAUACUAACCUGGGAAUAUUCCACUAAACAGUCUUGCUCAUCACUGGCUCUCUCUUAAAAGAUCUGAUGAGGAUCAAGUCCCAGGAUCUAGAGCUGACCAAGGAGAAGCUUGAACUGAAUCUUGAGUUUGUGUUGUUGAGAUAGCGAGGGGUAAAGUUUAUUAGGUUUACAUGACAAAGUUUUGUUAGUGGGAGGCUUCAGGGCUGGGUGCCCUCUGUAAGCAGAGCCCUACACUGCCCCAUGUCAGAUCACAGCCAGCACAGCUGCUCCUAAGUGACUGCCAAUGGCCAGAGCUGAGCCCUGAGCAACACUGGGUGUGCUCCGGGAGAGCAGACUGAGGAGAGGGAAGAGCUGCUGUGCAACAGCAGCUGAAAGAGAGGAUGAGAAAUGAGAGAGAAGCAGCCCUGCAGCCCCCAAGAUCAAUGCAGGAGGACCGAAGGUGCUCUAGCUACAGAGCAAAAGUUCUUCGCAGCCCAGGACAACCCCUGCUCUCUCACUCCUUGUUCUGAACUAGCCUGCUCUGUCCCAUAAUGCAGAACCAUUUCACAACAUCUAAUUGCUGUCUCUACAUGACUCUGCAACAAGGACAGCUAAGAAAUCAAGCAAAAGUCAUGGUAAGCAUGUCUUUGAGGCCUGGUGACAUGCAUCCUUGAGUCCUAAAGGAACAAGCUGAUGUAGUUGCCAAGCCACUCUCCACCAUAUUUGGAAAAUCACUGCUGUCAGGAGAAGUCCCAGAGACUGGAAAAAAGGAAAACAUCUCUCCUAUUUUUAAAGAAAAGGAGAAAGGAAGACCCAGAGAGCUACAGGCUUGUGAGCCACACAUCUGUGCCCGAAAAGAUCAUGGAGCAGAUAUUUCUGUAAGCUGUAUUAAGGCACAAGCAAGAUGAGGAGUUAUCUGAGACAUCUAGCAUCACUUCACCAAGGGCAAAUCAGGUCUGACCAAUCUGGUGGCCUCUAUGAUAGAGCAAUGCCAUCAGCAGACAAAGGAAGAGUGAUUGAUGUCAUCUACCUGGACUUCUGCAAGGCCUUUGAUAUGGUCCUACACCUACUUUCUUAUAUAUAACUGGAGAGAUAUGGAUAUGCAAGGGAUAAGGAAUUAUUUGCAGUAAGAUUUCUCAACCCAGCCCUCUUGGGCAAUCUUAAGUUGAAACUUCCCAGGUCAAAAGAUAAAAGAUGUGAUUUGUCCUCCUGCUUUAUAUAAAACAGAAAUAACCCAAAGAAAAUGACACAGCUAGAAGUUAUUUGUUCCUUCCUUCUUUCCCUGGAAGCCUGCGUGGUACCUGAGACAUAAACACUGCUGCUUCUGCUUUUGAAUGGUACUUUACCAUAAGGAAGUAAACAGAAUUAGCUUACAUUCAAACAGCAAUUUUUCAUCCUGAAAACUGAGUGUAGUUUAUAGCCAGUGCAUAUGCAAUGGAAAGCACAGCAAUGAGAGCAGAGUUGCAAAGUCCCGGGCUGCAGCAAGUGAGGAUAUGCUCAUAUACAGCAGCUGUGGGCACAGAAACAAAAGAAAGAAUCUGCUUACCCUCGGAAGGUCUCAGAGACACAGAGAACUCCAGAAAGAUCCCCUCACACCCAUUGCCAACCCUUAAAUGAGGGCAGGAAAGGGGUGGAUCCUGGCUCCAACCCUUCUGGUCACUCAGUGCAUUGCGUUGCAUGCACCAGAGCUGCCCUGGCCUGGCCCUGCCUUCCCACCAGGUGCUCCAUCACUGCUUCAAGCCAUAACAGCAUUUCUGCUACACCAGGAAAUGCAACCUUUGGAGGUUCUGCUCUGUGAGCACCAAAGCACACGAGUUCCUUGGAUGUCCAGCAGUACCUUUAGCAGAUUUUUUUUUUUUUUUUCUGGUUGUUUGUCAAACAGUUGUCAGAGGCUCAUUUGGCCAUCCCCAAAUCCUGCACUGCAUUUAGAUGCAGAGUCCCCCAUUCUGACUCACUCUAGUUUACCUGAACCCUCUUGAACUUCUCUUAAACUGUCCUUUUAGGAUAUGCCAUAAAUGCACAGACUGCACAGACGCUUUGCUAGUAUUGAAUUGCACUGAGCAUUCAGAUACCUUGAAGAGCUUUAGGCUGGAACAGCAGCAUGCACAGCUACUGCUGGGCUGGGUGCUUUGGAGCAGCACAGUGUGAUUUCCAGAAACAAAAGCAAUUCAUACAAAGCACAGCUUAGAAGAAAUUUGGGAUGCCUCUGAGCUGUGCUGUAAGUGGGUGGUCUGAAGGCUCCAGAAUCUCAGGAGAUGGAGGAAGGAGAAUCACCUCUGUUAUUUCUGAACGAUUCCUUCAUUUAAAUAAAUGUCCCACAUGAAAAGCGGGGUG
ensembl:lncRNA